rnacentral:tRNA from 2 species
GGGGGCGUGGCGAAACUGGCAAACGCGGCGGCCUAGCAAGCCGCUUCCUACCCUGGAUUGCGGGUUCGAGUCCCGCCGUCCCCA